rnacentral:rRNA from 1 species
GCGGUAGAGAGAAGCUUGCUUCGCUUGAGAGCGGCGGACGGGUGAGUAAUGCCUAGGAAUCUGCCUGGUAGUGGGGGAUAACGUUCGGAAUACGGACGCUAAUACCGCAUACGUCCUACGGGAGAAAGCAGGGGACCUUCGGGCCUUGCGCUAUCAGAUGAGCCUAGGUCGGAUUAGCUAGUUGGUGAGGUAAUGGCUCACCAAGGCGACGAUCCGUAACUGGUCUGAGAGGAUGAUCAGUCACACUGGAACUGAGACACGGUCCAGACUCCUACGGGAGGCAGCAGUGGGGAAUAUUGGACAAUGGGCGAAAGCCUGAUCCAGCCAUGCCGCGUGUGUGAAGAAGGUCUUCGGAUUGUAAAGCACUUUAAGUUGGGAGGAAGGGUUGUAGAUUAAUACUCUGCAAUUUUGACGUUACCGACAGAAUAAGCACCGGCUAACUCUGUGCCAGCAGCCGCGGUAAUACAGAGGGUGCAAGCGUUAAUCGGAAUUACUGGGCGUAAAGCGCGCGUAGGUGGUUUGUUAAGUUGGAUGGUGAAAUCCCCGGGCUCAACCUGGGAACUGCAUUCAAAACUGACUGACUAGAGUAUGGUAGAGGGUGGUGGAAUUUCCUGUGUAGCGGUGAAAUGCGUAGAUAUAGGAAGGAAGACCAGUGGCGAAGGCGACCACCUGGACUGAUACUGACACUGAGGUGCGAAAGCGUGGGGAGCAAACAGGAUUAGAUACCCUGGUAGUCCACGCGUAAACGAUGUCAACUAGCCGUUGGGAGCCUUGAGCUCUUAGUGGCGCAGCUAACGCAUUAAGUUGACCGCCUGGGGAGUACGGCCGCAAGGUUAAAACUCAAAUGAAUUGACGGGGGCCCGCACGAAGCGGUGGAGCAUGUGGUUUAAUUCGAAGCAACGCGAAGAACCUUACCAGGCCUUGACAUCCAAUGAACUUUCCAGAGAUGGAUUGGUGCCUUCGGGAACAUUGAGACAGGUGCUGCAUGGCUGUCGUCAGCUCGUGUCUUGAGAUGUUGGGUUAAGUCCCGUAACGAGCGCAACCCUUGUCCUUAGUUACCAGCACGUUAUGGU